rnacentral:rRNA from 1 species
CGUAGGUGGCAAGCGUUGUCCGGAAUUAUUGGGCGUAAAGCGCGCGCAGGCGGUCCCUUAAGUCUGACGUGAAAGCCCCCGGCUUAACCGGGGAGGGUCAUUGGAAACUGGGGGACUUGAGUGCAGAAGAGAAGAGCGGAAUUCCAUGUGUAGCGGUGAAAUGCGCAGAGAUAUGGAGGAACACCAGUGGCGAAGGCGGCUCUUUGGUCUGUAACUGACGCUGAGGCGCGAAAGCGUGGGGAGCAAACAGGAUU